GACAUGAGCAGGGGCAGAGGAAGAGGCAGGCAUGGAGGUUCCUGAUAAGAAAGCUUUGAAGAGGGUGAGAGCUUGUUUGGGUCUAUGCAAAGGGACUUCAUGUCCAGCUCCCCUCACUGAUACAAACUUCAGUCCUUCAUACUCUUGGGUCCAUCCUCCUACCUGUUCAUUUCAUUUCCCACUUUAUUACUGCCUUAUCUAAUAUUGCUACUUAAUUUUUUCAAUUUAUCAAACAACACCUCUUGAAGUAUCUAUUCUACAUCUGUUUCAUUCGAUGUCUAUUAGAAGAGUGUGUAAAUGUCUUAUAUUCCCAACCUCUUGUACCUGAGUAUGACUUGUGUAUAGACAUGUAUAUAUAUAAUUAGACUCUCUAACUUACUAUUUAACUUUUGUGGUUGGAUUUAAGUUUCUUUAUUUUUAACUGUUAUUGUGGUAAUGAAUCAAAUCCAAGUAUUGCAAGGUAAGUUACCUGGCCAUCAUCAUACCAGGCACGCCAUGGUUUCAUAGUUGCAAGCUUGAGAGCAUCUAUACUGUAGCGGGUGGAUGUAAUUGGGAUUACAGCAUCUGUGUCACCACUGUCAUGGAAGGAGAAUGAAACAAAGAAAUAAGAAAAAAAUGGCUCCGGUCAAUUAAAUGAAAAUAUACAUCCUAUAAUCUAAAUUAUUAAAAGAUAAAAUAGUUGUUUUUACAGGUAAAAGUACCAUGGAGGCCCUUGUAGAGACAAAUUGCAUUUGGCCCCCUCUACUAAAAAAUGGACAAAUUCCUUGUACAUUAGAUCAAAAAGCAAAUUGGUCAUUUCUGUUAAAAUUUUGAUCCAUUUGUCUUGUUAAAAGUUGAUGUGGCUGACAGAAUAACCAUACAGUGACAUGUGGCGUCUUACAUGUACCCCAUAGUAACGUAAAGGGACCAAUUUUUAACAGUAGAAAUGAAUAAAAUUUUUAAUAGGAGGACCAGUUUGCUCUUUAAUCUAGCGUAUAAAGAUUAAUCUACCAAUUUUUUGAGUAGAGGGAACAAAAUGCAAUCUAACUUCUAGUACAGAGGCCUCCAUUGUACUUUUACCAUUUUUACAUGAAAAAACACAAAUGGAUUAAUAUUGAUGCUAAUCUUUUGGGAAUCUAGAGUUUAGCUUAGCUGAUUCAAGCAAAUACUUUUAAGAUGUAACAUUCCAUUAGCAAAUUUAUUUAAUGAUAAAGAUUAGAACUCGCACUAUAAUCAUAUGAUAAUGCGUAAUACUGAAAUAGCAAAUUUGUUAACAUUUUAAGACUAAAACUGCAAAUUAUCACUAUAAUUAGAACCUAAACAUAAAUCUAUCAUUCAAAAUGAAACAAAUAAUAACAUUGUGAUUAGCAGCCUGAAAUUAAAUAGAUUUUACCAUUGGCAGUCUUCUAGAUAGAAAGGUAUGCAACGUUGAACUCCUCUAAUAAAUGAAAAAUUACUUAUAUUGAUAAGUUAACCCCACAGCUUAUAUAGCUAAGUGUAUUAGCAGGAAAACUUUUCUUCUACAAAAGAACCAUAGCUUGGAAAUAUGGGAAGGGCUGGUAUUCGAACUCCAAACCUCUUGAAAGCCACCACUUAAGGGUGGUCACAUAAGCCCUAAAAACCAUGGUCUCUUGGUGGAGACACUUCCCAUCAGCCUUUCAUCUGGUAAUAGUUGGAUAUGUCCUAUUAUUCCCUCUAUCCAAUCUCAAACAGACUUUUCUUUAGAGCCUAUCUCAUUAAUUCCAAAUUGACAUUAUUACCCCUGUUACUCAGCCUCUUCAUUUUCCUUAAGGUAUUUGUGUCAGACACAUUCUCGAAUGUGGGUAUGGGAUAUGGUCCCCUAAAUAUACAAAAACCUAGAAAAAUAUUGAACAUAUCCGUCUCGGGAACUUACUUGUGUCCAACACUCGAUUCAAAUCAGGAAAACGCAAAAUAUUACUGUACUAAGGAAAGUUUGACCAUCAAGUUUGUCCAUAGUGUUCUAUUUUUUUCAUUCUCUAAUCCUAUAUUUUCUAGUUUCAAAUGGUAAAGCAAAGAUGGUUGACCUCUUGUUACCCAAUUCAAAAACAUGCUAGCUAUAUAGAAAAACAUCGUUACAAAUUUAGAGAUAAACCUGAAUAUCCAUAUGCGAAGUCCUUCAUGUAUAAGCUCACGGUAAACAUCCAGCAUCGUUAUUGGAGAAUCCUUCCAGUUGGUAUUUACGAUAUCACUGCAAUAAUGAAAAAGGAAGAAAGGAAAGAAAAUAUACGUCUACAUGUGACUUCUGAGGCAAGAAAAUGGAUAAACAGAAAUGUUGCCAAGUAAAAGAUGAUUUGAGUUUACACAGGGAUGUAAAUUUUGGUGGUCACAAAUUCAUUUUAUAAGGGCAAUUGAUGCUGCAUCAAUGAUGCAUCCUUUGAAAAGAAUAGAAUAAGUUUCAUGUAGGGAUAAAGCUAGAUGGUCAGGUGGUCUGGUUACAGUUGGUAAAUGACAGAAUUUGAGUAUACAGAAAUAGCGUACAUACCUGCACGUCUCCCAUUUAGAUGGUGCAGCUUCGGGUAAAACAUGAAGUGACUUUUGAACCUCAGGUAGAUUGAAGUAUACUUCUGAGUGCUUCUCAGUGCAAGGAUCGUACUUUUCACUGAGCUGGCUAACCAUCUGUUGGAUAAUAUCAAUUUUCCUUAAUAUGAUUACAUAUAAAAUAUCAAAUACCCUCAAAUUAAGUGGAAAUUAAACAACCAGGCCUUUUAUAAAUUUUGAUAUCUGGUUAAUUCUUGUGAUUGUUCUGGCCAAUGAGUUCUCCAGACCAUGAACCCUAUGACAGCUUAAAGGAGCUUCCGUUUGGAGAUAAAAAUCACAAAUAUAGAAGAGAGUUAUUAGAUCUCGAUCAACUGUUACCAAAAAUAUAGGUAUGAUGAUUGAUAUAUAUGGCAUAGUUUAACUGGAAUGCUGUCAAAACUUAUUAUACCUAAAGUUAAAUUAAUUAUAUCUUUUGACUGGUUUAAGAAGAGGGAAAAAGAUGCUUAAAAUUUAAAGAUUUAGAAGUAUGUAAUCUGUGUACUCACAAGCCUUCUUUUCAGCAGCCACUUCGUCUGACUAGCAUUCGCAGAGCAGGAGGGAGUGAAGAUGCUGUAUGGGUCAAUAUUUCCCAUUUCUUCACUUGCAAGGUCCAUCAUCUCAUUACAGGCACUUGAGGAGUGAACAAAUGACUCAAAAUCACAAAGUACAUUC
rnacentral:lncRNA from 1 species